rnacentral:tRNA from 1 species
UCCUGGGUGGCUCAGUGGUUGAGCAUCUGCCUUUCGCUCAGCUCAUUAUCCUUGGGUCCUGGGAUCAAGUCCCAGAUCAGGGU